rnacentral:rRNA from 1 species
GACGAACGCUGGCGGCGCGCUUAACACAUGCAAGUCGAGCGAAGCGGCGGACGGGUGAGUAACACGUGAGUAACCUGCCUUAGACAUUGGGAUAGCAUCGGGAACCCGGGAUUAAUACCAGAUGGUCUAAGAUGGACUCGCGUCCCAUUAGCUAGUUGGGAGGGAACGGCGCACCAAGGCGACGAUGAGUAGCCGGCCUGAUGGGGGGAAGGGCAGCAGUGGAACUGAGGAACGGGCCAAACGCUACGGGAGGCAGCAGUGGGUAAUAUUGCACAAGGGAGGGAACUCUGAUGCAGCGACGCCGCGUGAACGAAGAAGGCUGUCGAGGCGUAAAGUGCUUUUAUAUGGGAAGCGGUACCAUAAGAAAAAGCCCCGGCUAACUACGGGCCAGCAGCCGCGGUAAUUC